rnacentral:rRNA from 1 species
UGCGUAGGCGGGCUAAUUAGUCAGUGGUGAAAACCUGCAGCUUAACUGUAGACUUGCCAUUGAUACUGUUAGUCUUGAAUACGGUCAAGGUAGGCGGAAUGUGUAAUGUAGCGGUGAAAUGCUUAGAUAUUACACAGAACACCGAUUGCGAAGGCAGCUUACUGGGCCAUUACUGACGCUGAGGCACGAAAGCGUGGGGAGCGAACAGGAUUAGAUACCCUGGUAGUCC